AGCUUUGCGCAGUGGCAAUAUUGCAGCCAAUGAGGUUUGUCCGAGGUGCAAUUAUUGCUAAUUGAAAAAUAAACAAUAGGGGCGCCUGGGUGGCUCAGGGUUAAGCCGCUGCCUUCGGCUCAGGUCAUGAUCCCAGGGUC